AGCGGCGGACGGGUGAGUAACGCGUGGGAAUGUGCCCUUCUCUACGGAAUAGCCACUGGAAACGGUGAGUAAUACCGUAUACGCCCUCAGGGGGAAAGAUUUAUCGGAGAAGGAUCAGCCCGCGUUAGAUUAGGUAGUUGGUGGGGUAACGGCCUACCAAGCCUACGAUCUAUAGCUGGUUUUAGAGGAUGAUCAGCCACACUGGGACUGAGACACGGCCCAGACUCCUACGGGAGGCAGCAGUAGGGAAUCUUGGACAAUGGGGGCAACCCUGAUCCAGCCAUGCCGCGUGAGUGAAGAAGGCCCUAGGGUCGUAAAGCUCUUUCGCCUGUGAUGAUAAUGACAGUAGCAGGUAAAGAAACCCCGGCUAACUCCGUGCCAGCAGCCGCGGUAAUACGGAGGGGGUUAGCGUUGUUCGGAAUUACUGGGCGUAAAGCGCGCGUAGGCGGAUUGGAAAGUUGGGGGUGAAAUCCCGGGGCUCAACCCCGGAACUGCCUUCAAAACUCCCAGUCUAGAGUUCGAGAGAGGUGAGUGGAAUUCCGACUGUAGAGGUGAAAUUCGUAGAUAUUCGGAAGAACACCAGUGGCGAAGGCGGCUCACUGGCUCGAUACUGACGCUGAGGUGCGAAAGUGUGGGGAGCAAACAGGAUUAGAUACCCUGGUAGUCCACACCGUAAACGAUGAAUGCCAGUC
rnacentral:rRNA from 1 species